GUAUCUCACUCCCGCCACAGCUUGGGAUCGGUCUCUGCUGUUUUACGUCCUCCACCUCGGGAGCCCCCGGUGACUGUCACAGCCUCUUGCCCUGUGAUCUGCAGGUUCUGGGAGACGCACAGCUAAGAUGCCAGGACAUCCUGGAAGCUGGGAAAAGAUGGAGUUUCACUCUUGUUGCCCAGGCUGGAGUGCAUUAUCCCAAUCUCGGCUUACUACAACCUCCGCCUCCCAGGUUCAAGCGAUUCUCCUGCCUCAGCCUCCCACGUAGCUGAGAUUACAGGCAUGUGCCACCACGCCCAGCUAAUUUUGUAUUUUUAGUAGAGAUGGGGUUUCUCUAUGUUGGUUAGGCUGGUCUCGAACUCCCAACCUCAGGUGAUCUGCCCACCUCGGCCUUCCAAAGUGCUGGGGUUACAGGCAUGAACCACUGUGCCCAGCCCAAGAUGCUGUCUCUUAACAGCUAGGCCUAGAGUCAUGAAUAUGAUUCUGGGUCUCCUUGUACAAAGGUCAUGAAGAAUUGCCACUUUCUUGCAUACUGUAUAAAUCUCUUGUGGUACAGAGAGUGUCAUUACAGGGU
ensembl:lncRNA novel transcript